rnacentral:rRNA from 1 species
UCGGGAAUUUUGGGCAAUGGGCGAAAGCCUGACCCAGCAACGCCGCGUGAAGGAUGAAGUAUUUCGGUAUGUAAACUUCGAAAGAAUAGGAAGAAUAAAUGACGGUACUAUUUAUAAGGUCCGGCUAACUACGUGCCAGCAGCCGCGGUAAUACGUAGGGACCAAGCGUUGUUCGGAUUUACUGGGCGUAAAGGGCGCGUAGGCGGCAAUUCAAGUCAUCUGUGAAAUCUCCGGGCUUAACUCGGAACGGUCAGAUGAUACUGCUUUGCUAGAGUGCAGAAGGGGCAAUCGGAAUUCUUGGUGUAGCGGUGAAAUGCGUAGAUAUCAAGAGGAACACCUGAGGUGAAGACGG